UACGUAGGGUGCAAGCGUUAAUCGGAAUUACUGGGCGUAAAGCGUGCGCAGGCGGCUUUGCAAGACAGAUGUGAAAUCCCCGGGCUCAACCUGGGAACUGCAUUUGUGACUGCAUGGCUGGAGUGCGGCAGAGGGGGAUGGAAUUCCGCGUGUAGCAGUGAAAUGCGUAGAUAUGCGGAGGAACACCGAUGGCGAAGGCGGCAUCCUGGACCGACACUGACGCUGAGGCGCGAAAGCCAGGGGAGCAAACGGG
rnacentral:rRNA from 1 species